UGGGGAAUAUUGGACAAUGGGGGCAACCCUGAUCCAGCCAUGCCGCGUGAGUGAUGAAGGCCUUCGGGUUGUAAAGCUCUUUUGGCGGGGACGAUGAUGACGGUACCCGCAGAAUAAGCCCCGGCUAACUUCGUGCCAGCAGCCGCGGUAAGACGAAGGGGGCUAGCGUUGUUCGGAAUUACUGGGCGUAAAGCGAGUGUAGGCGGUUGCCGUAGUCAGGUGUGAAAGGCCUUGAGCUCAACUCAAGAAAUGCACUUGAUACUGGGUGACUAGAGGACCGGAGAGGAUAGUGGAAUUCCCAGUGUAGUGGUGAAAUACGUAGAGAUUGGGAAGAACACCAGUGGCGAAGGCGGCUAUCUGGACGGUUACUGACGCUAAAGACUCAAAAGCGUGGGGAGCAAAACAGGAUUAGAUACCCUGGUAGUCCACGCCGUAAACGAUGGGUGCUAGAC
rnacentral:rRNA from 1 species